rnacentral:rRNA from 1 species
CGCGGCCUAUCAGCUUGUUGGUGAGGUAAUGGCUCACCAAGGCGACGACGGGUAGCCGGCCUGAGAGGGCGACCGGCCACACUGGGACUGAGACACGGCCCAGACUCCUACGGGAGGCAGCAGUGGGGAAUAUUGCACAAUGGGCGAAAGCCUGAUGCAGCGACGCCGCGUGAGGGAUGACGGCCUUCGGGUUGUAAACCUCUUUCAGCAGGGAAGAAGCGAAAGUGACGGUACCUGCAGAAGAAGCGCCGGCUAACUACGUGCCAGCAGCCGCGGUAAUACGUAGGGCGCAAGCGUUGUCCGGAAUUAUUGGGCGUAAAGAGCUCGUAGGCGGUCUGUCGCGUCGGAUGUGAAAGCCCGGGGCUUAACCCCGGGUCUGCAUUCGAUACGGGCUAGCUAGAGUGUGGUAGGGGAGAUCGGAAUUCCUGGUGUAGCGGUGAAAUGCGCAGAUAUCAGGAGGAACACCGGUGGCGAAGGCGGAUCUCUGGGCCAUUACUGACGCUGAGGAGCGAAAGCGUGGGGAGCGAACAGGAUUAGAUACCCUGGUAGUCCACGCCGUAAACGGUGGGAACUAGGUGUUGGCGACAUUCCACGUCGUCGGUGCCGCAGCUAACGCAUUAAGUUCCCCGCCUGGGGAGUACGG